rnacentral:rRNA from 1 species
AGCGAACGCUGGCGGCAGGCCUAACACAUGCAGGUCGAACGGACCCUUCGGGGUUAGUGGCGGACGGGUGAGUAACACGUGGGAACGUGCCUUUAGGUUCGGAAUAGCUCCUGGAAACGGGUGGUAAUGCCGAAUGUGCCCUUCGGGGGAAAGAUUUAUCGCCUUUAGAGCGGCCCGCGUCUGAUUAGCUAGCUGGUGGUGUAACGGACCACCAAGGCGGCGAUCAGUAGCUGGGCUGAGAGGAUGAUCAGCCACAUUGGGACUGAGACACGGCCCACACUCCUACGGGAGGCAGCAGUGGGGAAUCUUGCGCAAUGGGCGAAAGCCUGACGCAGCCAUGCCGCGUGAAUGAUGAAGGUCUUAGGAUUGUAAAAUUCUUUCACCGGGGACGAUAAUGACGGUACCCGGAGAAGAAGCCCCGGCUAACUUCGUGCCAGCCGCCGCCGUAAGAC